rnacentral:piRNA from 1 species
UGUAGUCUGCCUCUGUAGGAAACUACAAC